rnacentral:rRNA from 1 species
GGUCCCUACGGGGCGCAGCAGUGGGGAAUAUCGCACAAUGGGGGAAACCCUGAUGCAGCGACGCCGCGUGAGCGAUGAAGUAUUUCGGUAUGUAAAGCUCUAUCAGCAGGGAAGAAAAUGACGGUACCUGACUAAGAAGCCCCGGCUAACUACGUGCCAGCAGCCGCGGUAAUACGUAGGGGGCAAGCGUUAUCCGGAUUUACUGGGUGUAAAGGGGGCGCAGACGGCGAUGCAAGCCAGGAGUGAAAGCCCGGGGCCCAACCCCGGGACUGCUCUUGGACCUGCGUGGCUGGAGUGCAGGAGGG